rnacentral:tRNA from 1 species
AGCUUUUUGGCAGAAAAUUGCGUUAGACUUAGAAUCU